UGCACUAACUCGCACGAAACUACCUCGUUUUAUGACACUGCCAUUUAUAAACCCUAAAUGACUAAAUCCCCCUUUUUUCUUAAUUUGUUUUUUAAUUAAUAAUUAAACCUUGUGCCUUCAUGUUAACGUUUUCGAUUUACCCCCUUUUCUUGCCCUAAUGAAGUCCAAUCGUAAUAGCAAUUCACUACUUUCUACGGAUUAGAAGAUCAGAAGUCCAAAGAAACAUUACAUUGGCAAUAAUUUCAUCAGAGAUUUGAGAAUCAAUGGAUGAUGCCUACGCUAGAUCCGUCGGCGAGGU
rnacentral:lncRNA from 1 species